ACUAUUUUGACAGAUAAAUGUUUUGAUUUUAGAAAUCAUAGAUAUAUAAUAUAAAUUAUAUAUAUAGUA
rnacentral:tRNA from 1 species